GAAGGUCCGGGCGUUAUCCGGAUUUAUUGGGUUUAAAGGGAGCGUAGGCCGCCGAUUAAGCGUGUUGUGAAAUGCCGUGGCUCAACCAUGGCACUGCAGCGCGAACUGGUUGGCUUGAGUGCGCGGAAGGCAGGCGGAAUUCGUGGUGUAGCGGUGAAAUGCUUAGAUAUGACGAAGAACUCCGAUUGCGAAGGCAGCCUUCUGGGGUGUUACUGACGCUGAGGCUCGAAAGCGCGGGUAUC
rnacentral:rRNA from 1 species